AUCGCUCGGCCUUUUGGCUCAGAUCAAGUGUGGUAUCUGUUCUUACUCAGUUUAAUAUUCGAUACCGCCCCCAUCGGGGGACUACAUAUAUUAAAUGGAUUUUUCGAACAGGAGUCGAAAUGGGGCUUUUACUCCGGUCCUUUCAUCGCACGCAGUCGACCCGGUGGAUUGCAGGCUCCCCGGAACUGGUGCAACACUU